rnacentral:rRNA from 1 species
CUUUAACACUGAGGCGUGACGACGAGGCACUACGGUGCUGAAGCAACAAAUGCCCUGCUUCCAGGAAAAGCCUCUAAGCAUCAGGUAACAUCAAAUCGUACCCCAAACCGACACAGGUGGUCAGGUAGAGAAUACCAAGGCGCUUGAGAGAACUCGGGUGAAGGAACUAGGCAAAAUGGUGCCGUAACUUCGGGAGAAGGCACGCUGACACGUAGGUGAAGUGAUUUACUCAUGGAGCUGAAGUCAGUCGAAGAUACCAGCUGGCUGCAACUGUUUAUUAAAAACACAGCACUGUGCAAACACGAAAGUGGACGUAUACGGUGUGACGCCUGCCCGGUGCCGGAAGGUUAAUUGAUGGGGUCAGCGCAAGCGAAGCUCCUGAUCGAAGCCCCGGUAAACGGCGGCCGUAACUAUAACGGUCCUAAGGUAGCGAAAUUCCUUGUCGGGUAAGUUCCGACCUGCACGAAUGGCGUAAUGAUGGCCAGGCUGUCUCCACCCGAGACUCAGUGAAAUUGAACUCGCUGUGAAGAUGCAGUGUACCCGCGGCAAGACGGAAAGACCCCGUGAACCUUUACUAUAGCUUGACACUGAACAUUGAGCCUUGAUGUGUAGGAUAGGUGGGAGGCUUUGAAGUGUGGACGCCAGUCUGCAUGGAGCCGACCUUGAAAUACCACCCUUUAAUGUUUGAUGUUCUAACGUGGACCCGUUACCCGGGUUGCGGACAGUGUCUGGUGGGUAGUUUGACUGGGGCGGUCUCCUCCUAAAGAGUAACGGAGGAGCACGAAGGUUGGCUAAUCCUGGUCGGACAUCAGGAGGUUAGUGCAAUGGCAUAAGCCAGCUUGACUGCGAGCGUGACGGCGCGAGCAGGUGCGAAAGCAGGUCAUAGUGAUCCGGUGGUUCUGAAUGGAAGGGCCAUCGCUCAACGGAUAAAAGGUACUCCGGGGAUAACAGGCUGAUACCGCCCAAGAGUUCAUAUCGACGGCGGUGUUUGGCACCUCGAUGUCGGCUCAUCACAUCCUGGGGCUGAAGUAGGUCCCAAGGGUAUGGCUGUUCGCCAUUUAAAGUGGUACGCGAGCUGGGUUUAGAACGUCGUGAGACAGUUCGGUCCCUAUCUGCCGUGGGCGCUGGAGAACUGAGGGGGGCUGCUCCUAGUACGAGAGGACCGGAGUGGACGCAUCACUGGUGUUCGGGUUGUCAUGCCAAUGGCACUGCCCGGUAGCUAAAUGCGGAAGAGAUAAGUGCUGAAAGCAUCUAAGCACGAAACUUGCCCCGAGAUGAGUUCUCCCUGAGACUUAAAGUCUCCUGAAGGAACGUUGAAGACGACGACGUUGAUAG